rnacentral:lncRNA from 1 species
UGAUUUGCCUUUUGAAUCAUAGCCAUGAUAGAUAUCACUAAGGAUGAAAAGAUGAAAUGUAGGGAUUUUGGUUUUUGAUUGAUAAGAGAAAUGGUGAAGUUGAUUUGUUCAUUGUGAUUGAUGGAUUGUGGGAUGAGUCAUGGUGCGUCGUUUUACACCAAAUAUAUCCGGCAGUCAGCCGGUAUGCCCACACUGCGCAGACAGCAGUAAGCAAAAUCGUCUCCCAAAGGACUGGCGAGAAUUUCUCUAAUUAAAGUCUGCAAGUAACCCAAGAAAUUUUGAGAAUAAAAUAUAGAAAAUACUAAACUUAAAAUUAAAUAAAUAAAAUCCAAAUAAACCA